rnacentral:lncRNA from 1 species
ACAAAGCACAGGGAAAGGACACGCUAUACUCAGACCUAGAUACUGUAAUCCUGGGAUAUGCCUGUUUUGUGUUUUGCUUUUGUUUUUUUGUUUUGUUUUGUUUUGCUUUUUUCUUUUUUUCUGUUUGUUUGGUUUUUGUUUUUAGACCUAUGACGGAACCCAUUUUCAUGUCUGUUUGAGGUUUAUUCUUAGAUUCUAUUCAACUAGCCCUAAGAGAUCUAAACUAGUUAGAGAGUUAACUGAUUAUUGAACUAGUGUCAGCAUCAUCCCUACUGCAACUCAAAAGUUAUUGAGCAGACACAAAAAUGGUGUUAGUAAAAUGCUUCCUAGGUUAGUUUUGCUGGUGUACAUAUUAGUAAGGUUUAGUUGUCUGUUAUUAACUAAUCACAACGUGCACCUUGUUAACAUAAAAGGCGCAAGCUAUUUCCAGCAACAUCACUAUUUGCACUAUUGAGCAGCAAUUGUUCAGCAUGCAAGUGCCUAAGUCCAUGCCAAAGGGAGAGAAAAGGCAAAACAACCAGUAGAAGCGGCACACGCUGAUGUGCACAUGCAGGAGGUACAGUACAGUUCAGAAAAGGAAAGAAAGAAAACAGGGAGAACCAAAGGAAAAACAUAAAAAUAAAAACAACUGCUUUGUGAUGACGUAAAGAUGAGUGGGUGUGGCAUCUCCAGCAUUCCCAAAUCAAGUUUCCAUGCCAUGCAUCAUGAAUGGUUAGAGACUGGCUGAGCUGCGGUCACUCGGGCCAGCCACCAUUUUGUCUUAUCCCGUGUUAACCACAGCUGGAUGCAAAACGUUCGAAACGUUAACGAUGCCCCUACAGAUUUAGGAGUAACAAGGCGGCUCUCACGAGAUGCUAGACAGAUCAAACAGAAAGGUGGAUAUUUGGAAGGAACAGUCUUCUCCCACUGAUGAGGUAAACCUCGAGACCAAUCCAGAAAUAAAUUGCCAAGCUUCUAUCAAAUAAUUCAAAAGGAGACCCAGGACUCUUGAUGAUACACUUGAAGUCACUAAAUAUGAAAGAUGAUAGCAUCUUGGAAGGCAAGAGCAGAGGAAAGGAGAAUUUUCACAGGGAAGAAGAAAGAGUUGGUGAAAGUGAAAUUGCUUUAACAAAAUAAUGAUCUCUAUACCUCCUUCUCGAACUGUGGUUUGAAGGACAGUAUCAUCAGCAUUACUUGGAGCUUGUGAGAAAUUUAGAAUUUCAAGGCCCCCUCGACCCCAACUUACUGGUGCAAACUCUGUAUUGUAACCCGAUCCCCAAGGUGAUUCUAGUGUACAUUAAAGUGUGAGAGUCUUGUUAUGAAUGGAUUCUUAUAGUGCUGCAAUUUAGAACAUCUUUUAAGAAUUAUAAAGACAAUUUUGUGUCUCUUGUAUCUGAAAUAAGUAUUAAAGGCAAAAUAUAUAUUGA